rnacentral:lncRNA from 1 species
GUAAUUUGCAUAUAUUUCUAAUUAUGUUUUGUUUGCCUAUGCUGACUCGUGUACUCUUUUUAAUUGCAGGUCAUUAAGCAAUGGUGGGCGGUAUCAGGAAGCUCACGUCGAUUUGCGAGAGACUGGCCGCGGCAGGGACUGGUUCAGGGUCAGGGUCACGUUCAGGGAGUGGUCGAGGGAGGCGUCGAGGCAGGCCUCGACGUAGGGUUGAGGAGGAGGAGGAGGAGGAGGAGCAGGAGGUGGUCCAGAGGCCUCGAGGGAAAGGUAAAGCGGCGAGGCCCCCGUCGCCUGAACCUGAG